GAUGAACGCUGGCGGCGUGCCUAAUACAUGCAAGUCGAGCGAACAGACGAGGAGCUUGCUCCUCUGACGUUAGCGGCGGAUGGGUGAGUAACACGUGGAUAACCUACCUAUAAGACUGGGAUAACUUCGGGAAACCGGAGCUAAUACCGGAUAAUAUAUUGAACCGCAUGGUUCAAUAGUGAAAGACGGUUUUGCUGUCACUUAUAGAUGGACCCGCGCCGCAUUAGCUAGUUGGUAAGGUAACGGCUUACCAAGGCAACGAUGGGUAGCCGACCUGAGAGGGUGUCCGGCACAACGGAAAUGAGAAACGGGUCCGACCCCCAAGGGAGGGAGGAGGUGGGAAUACUUCAGAAUGGGGGGAAGGCCUAGCGAGGCAAGCCGGGGGUGGGAAGAAGGGUUUCCGAGUGGAAAAACCCUUUAGUUGGGAGGAAAGAAAUUAAGAAAAAACCUUGCUGUUUUGGAGUUACCCAAAGAAUAAGCCCCGGGUAACCUAGUG
rnacentral:rRNA from 1 species